GGAGAGAUGGCAGAGUGGUUUAUCGCGACGGUCUUGAAAACCGUUGAAGAAUACAUUUUCUUCCGGGGGUUCAAAUCCCUCUCUCUCCG
rnacentral:tRNA from 1 species